CAAUCAUUUACAUUUCAGGUUGGGAGAAUGUGACUAAAUUCUGACAAAUAAUUAUAUUAAAACCGACGUGGAUCUACAACUUCUCCUUUCUUCCAGAAGUACUGGACAGGCUCAGCGUCUUUAAAGUCGACACCACAAGCCAGGAUGCAUUCAGUGUAACAGUGUAUCGCAUGUCAGAGGCCUCAUGAUGACUUCAACAGGGUAGUCGUCCAGCGGUGAAGAAACUCUCAGUUACAAAAAGAACCUUCUAGAUGCUGACCUUCUAGACGGCAUCGCCGUGGCAACGACCGCAGAUCCACAGGAGCAGAAGAAGAAGAGGCGGUCCUAAAGUAGAAGAAGA